rnacentral:lncRNA from 1 species
UUUGUUUUAUCUGCAAAACACAUUGAGUAAAAAUGGAAGGUACAUUGAAAAUGACAUUGAGGUUUUUGGUAUUUUUGGUUGUUAUUGUGAUGAGCCUAAUGGGAGGUGCAUAUGGAACAAGCAGUGAAGUUAGUACGGAUUAUCAUAACACGGUACCAACAUGUUAUAUGUUAUGCUUAUGGAACAAGAAUUGUUGUCCCCCUCCUCCCGCUUCCAUAAAAUUUUAAAUUUCUUUUUCUCUUUGUUUAGUUUACAAUAAUGCUCAUGAGUUUGAGAAAGACUUAUUUUAUA